GACGGAGGGGGCGAGCGUUAUUCGGAAUCAUUGGGCGUAAAGAGCGUGUAGGCGGCCGGUUAAGUCAGGUGUGAAAGCCCGGGGCUCAACCUCGGAAGUGCACUUGAAACUGGUCGGCUUGAGUUCGGGAGAGGGAAGCUGAAUUCCUGGUGUAGAGGUGAAAUUCGUAGAUAUCAGGAGGAACACCGGUGGCGAAGGCGGCUUCCUGGACCGAAACUGACGCUGAGACGCGAAAGCGUGGGGAGCAAACAGG
rnacentral:rRNA from 1 species